GAUGAACGCUGGCGGCGUGCUUAACACAUGCAAGUCGAACGGUGAACGAGGGAGCUUGCUCCCUCCGGAUCAGUGGCGAACGGGUGAGUAACACGUGAGCAAUCUGCCCUGGACUCUGGGAUAAGCGUUGGAAACGACGUCUAAUACCGGAUACGAGGCGUGGGGGCAUCCCCAACGCCUGGAAAGAACUUCGGUCCAGGAUGAGCUCGCGGCCUAUCAGCUUGUUGGUGAGGUAACGGAUCACCAAGGCGACGACGGGUAGCCGGCCUGAGAGGGUGACCGGCCACACUGGGGCUGAAACACGGCCCAGACUCCUACGGGAGGCAGCAGUGGGGAAUAUUGCACAAUGGGCGCAAGCCUGAUGCAGCAACGCCGCGUGAGGGACGACGGCCUUCGGGUUGUAAACCUCUUUUAGCAGGGAAGAAGCGAAAGUGACGGUACCUGCAGAAAAAGCACCGGCUAACUACGUGCCAGCAGCCGCCGUAAGAC
rnacentral:rRNA from 1 species